rnacentral:rRNA from 1 species
GAUGAACGCUGGCGGCGUGCCUAAUACAUGCAAGUCGAGCGAACAGACGAGGAGCUUGCUCCUCUGACGUUAGCGGCGGACGGGUGAGUAACACGUGGAUAACCUACCUAUAAGACUGGGAUAACUUCGGGAAACCGGAGCUAAUACCGGAUAAUAUAUUGAACCGCAUGGUUCAAUAGUGAAAGACGGUUUUGCUGUCACUUAUAGAUGGAUCCGCGCCGCAUUAGCUAGUUGGUAAGGUAACGGCUUACCAAGGCAACGAUGCGUAGCCGACCUGAGAGGGUGAUCGGCCGCACUGGAACUGAGACACGGUCCAGACUCCUACGGGAGGCAGCAGUAGGGAAUCUUCCGCAAUGGGCGAAAGCCUGACGGAGCAACGCCGCGUGAGUGAUGAAGGUCUUCGGAUCGUAAAACUCUGUUAUUAGGGAAGAACAAAUGUGUAAAUAACUAUGCACGUCUUGACGGUACCUAAUCAGAAAGCCACGGCUAACUACGUG